GAUGAACGCUAGCUACAGGCUUAACACAUGCAAGUCGAGGGGUAACGAGAGGAAAGCUUGCUUUCCUUGUCGACGACCGGCGCACGGGUGAGUAACGCGUAUCCAACCUGCCCCCAACCAGGGAAUAACCUUGCGAAAGUAAGACUAAUACCCUAUAAUUUCCUCAGAUGUCAUCUGACGAGGAAUAAAGAUUUAUCGGUUGUGGAUGGGGAUGCGUCUGAUUAGCUUGUUGGCGGGGUAACGGCCCACCAAGGCAACGAUCAGUAGGGGUUCUGAGAGGAAGGGCCCCCACAUUGGAACUGAGACACGGUCCAAACUCCUACGGGAGGCAGCAGUGGGGAAUAUUGGUCAAUGGGCGGAAGCCUGAACCAGCCAAGUAGCGUGCAGGAUGACGGCCCUAUGGGUUGUAAACUGCUUUUAUACAGGAAUAAAGUUAGCCACGUGUGGUUAUUUGUAGGUACUGUAUGAAUAAGGACCGGCUAAUUCCGUGCCAGCCGCCGCGGUAA
rnacentral:rRNA from 1 species